AUUUCCUUUGGCUUUGCUAAGAUCAAGUGUAGUAAUCUGUUCUUAUCAUUUAAUCAUCUAUACGGUCCUCUUAUCGGAGAACAUAUAUAAAUGGAUUUGUGGAGGCGGGAGUUUGGAAUAGGAGCUUGCUCGUCCACUCCACGGCAUCGACCGGUAUUGCAGUACUUCCAGGACGGUGCAUCCCCG
rnacentral:snRNA from 1 species